rnacentral:misc_RNA from 1 species
AAGAAUUAUCUCCCAUAAGAAAGGCUGAUCCUGAUCAGCAUAGUGAGGAUGAUAAACAGACAUCAGCAUUUUUCAAAGUUCUUUCUCCCAAGUCACCUACAUCUAGAGUGAAGCCUCAGUUUUUGGCCAUCUUAGAUGGAUUUUGGCUUAUUUUAUCUUCAACUUAUUUAUUGUAUGUGUCCUUAUUCCUGUGGCUGAGUGCAGUUGUCUCCUCAUUCUUCUACUUCCAGAAGGUGACUGUAAUCGCUAUGACUGUUACUAGUUCUCUUGGCAGAAGAAGAUUGUUUGCCCAGAUAAAUAGCUUCAUUGCAGUUUUUAUCCUUGCUGGACAACUUACAUUAACGGGGCGCAUCCUUACUAUAGCUGGGGUUACUACAGCUAUAUGCUCUGCUCCAGUUGUUGCCUUUUUAAAUUUGGUUGCUGUUGCUGUUUGGCCGACUUGGAUAGCAUUUGCCAUCUGUGAGACUUUAAGAAAGGUCGUUACUUAUGUAGUGACCAGGCCAGGAAGAGAACUCCUAUUUACUGUUGUUUCGGAGGAAGAGAAAUACAAAGCAAAGGUCUGU